UAUUAAAAUCAGGUCUGAACAAAAUAUAGCCCUAGACAAAAUCUCAACAGAUGGAUGUAUUCCUAGAAUCAUGGGACCAAACUAUUCUGAUUCCCAGGUCUCUUGGACCUUGGGAAAGGCAUGUCCCAAUAUGUCACAUUUUUGUCAUAAGUCCUGAUAUUGUCUAUAAACACGUAUGUGUGUGUGUGUGUGUGUGUGGGUCCAGUGUGUAUGUGUG